rnacentral:rRNA from 1 species
UGCCUUCGGGAACUUAGAUACAGGUGCUGCAUGGCUGUCGUCAGCUCGUGUCGUGAGAUGUUGGGUUAAGUCCGCAACGAGCGCAACCCUUUUCCUUAUUUGCCAGCGGGUAAUGCCGGGAACUUUAAGGAUACUGCCAGUGACAAACUGGAGGAAGGCGGGGACGACGUCAAGUCAUCAUGGCCCUUACGGCCAGGGCUACACACGUGCUACAAUGGUCGGUACAAAGGGUUGCUACCUCGCGAGAGGAUGCUAAUCUCAAAAAGCCGAUCGUAGUCCGGAUCGCAGUCUGCAACUCGACUGCGUGAAGUCGGAAUCGCUAGUAAUCGCGGAUCAGAAUGCCGCGGUGAAUACGUUCCCGGGCCUUGUACACACCGCCCGUCACACCAUGGGAGUUUGUUGCACCAGAAGUAGGUAGUCUAACCGCAAGGAGGACGCUUACCACGGUGUGGCCGAUGACUGGGGUGAAGUCGUAACAAGGUAGGCGUAGAUGA